CAUGUUCAGUAUCACCAGUGUAGUCAUCUUCAUGACUACCGUGCUCUCGAUCUCGCUCCUUUUCUUCUUUAUGCUUCUCUUUAACUUCGGUGUGGAAAUCAUCAAAUCGCCUUAGGAGAGCAGCAAGGCUUUUGUCCACACUAGCAACAGAUUCCUCCAAACUUGUGAGCUUGUUGUUUGUGGCAAUCUGCGUAGCCUCCAACUGCCCCAGCUUUUCAUUUGUCACCUGCAAGUCGUUAUCAAGUCCCUCUGUGUGCAGCUUCACUUUCCUUUCAAAAUGUUGUAUGAUGCCCUUAGUGCGAGGUGUAUGUGGUGUUUCGUUACCAUCAUCUGCCCCUGGCAUGGUUCGAGGACAAAGACAACAAAAAGGCAAGUAAAGAAAUAAAAGCCCUACAACUACUAGGAUGUAGCUACAGCAAGUCGCUCACACUCAACCUGUAACACAAGUUCUUACCAAUUCUUACCUUGCUUGACAGGAGGGGUCAUCUGCCAACAAGUGUACAGCAAUGGACGAAGUGUAUCGGUGCUGCAGCACAAGACCUGUCAAGCUGUAGAGUAUGUGGAGCUAUAGGUGGGCUGAAACAAGGAACGAACUAGCACCACGUUAGUUAUAAAAGCGAGCUGAAUAAGCGUUCGACGAUGGUACUGUGCUGGUCCUAGGCUAGACCAUGCUAGAGACGCGAGCCUGGACACAAAGGAAAACCACAGCACACCCCCGAAAACAAGGUGGAAGAAACCUAAAAUCAAUAUGAAAAACAACCCCUUCUUUUUUUUGAAUCUUUUCUCUUUUUUUCUUUUUUUUGGGCAACCUCAAAAACUGAUUAUAUGAACAAAAGAAUACAAAAGAGCAAUUCGCUACACACACUUUUUCCGAAAGUGCAGGGGUAUUCCGGUAAAAAGAAUACACACACACUCUCUCUCUAGAGUAAGGCCGAACAAGUAUGGAGUUAUCCUUCUUUUUUAUCACGUUGGUGGAACUCAGAUUGGAACUCUACUCGAUCCGGACCAAGACCACAGUUCAAUUCGGACUUCGCAACAGAUUCGACAGAGAGAAGAUAUGGUAAUACUUGGCUGUGUAUAGAUGGUGACAAGAACUCGAAACUCUAAAAGACUAGACACUAAGACCAGCAACUCGACACAAACCGAAGCAACGCAAAUUCAACAAGCCCUAACUAAAACGGUACUAGCC
rnacentral:lncRNA from 1 species